CGUGGAAGUACCCAAAUCAUCACAAAGUCGAAAAACCAUGGAUGACCAUCUUGCAAUCUCAGGGCAGCUUUGGAAAUCAUCCAAGGCCUCCUGAGUUAAAUCGUCACUGGUGCAAUAAGCAAGAGUCAAUAUCAGGAGACCCGAUAUCGAUACUAGUGCGUUCUCCAAGUACUCUUCAAGAUUGGGUGUGUAGCCUUGGUGGUACCACCUUGCUUCCACCAUGUAUGCCUUGCAUAGAUCUGCCCACUGAAUCCAACGGUAGCACUGUUUAUAAAGUGGAACUGCAUGAUUGACGAUACACAAAAGAGAGGGGAUGGGAUCGAUAUGUUACUGCUUUUUUUACGUGUGGAAUUAUAUCCAGACCCUUCUCUUUCAUAACAUUGUACGCGGUGUCAUUUGUAGAGUUGAAGAGGGCUAGAAAACAUAUCUUCAUGUACUCUGGCAAUUUGUCGAUUGUAUUAACAUCCCAUCUGCAACAUCCAUCAGAGUAGAUGUUAUCAGGAAUCAAAGAUUCUUGAAAUAACACCUCCUACAUGCAUGACGAGGAGGAGUUGUUUAACUAUCGACGGCAUCCGUGAAAAGCUCGAGCUCAUCGAUGGUGCCGUAAACAUCAUACACAUCAUCUAUUGUUGUUAUCAGGCAAUUCGCUUUUGUCUGCGCCUCCCUAAUUCUUGCAAACUGUGGCUCAAAAGCCCAGCCAACCGUCCAGAAAUAAUUCUCCAUCAACCUGUCCCUGGAAAAUGGAAGCCUUUGCGCGAGGCCAAGAUUGCUCCACCAUCUGAUCGAUAGCCAUAAGUUUGUGCUGAAGUUUGCUGGUUCAUAAACGAGGGCAGAUUGCGCAAGACAUGAUUCAAGUAAAGCAAGCUUAAAAUACCUCGACACUUCUCUGAGUUCCCUCUGAUAUAUGAUCUGAACCCUGUUGAAGUCCAACUUAGCCAAUUCAAGUAGGACAGGGUUCAUCUUCGCUUCCCAUUGGGAUGCUUCUAUGAACCACCUGGUCUGUAACCUCGGCAUCCUCCAGUUCAAUUGAAGCUCCAAGGCAUGGGCUACGUGCUCCCUGAGAUGAGGCUCAAGUGAUCCCUCCAUGAGGCUCUUGAGCUGUUUAGUUGUGAAGUUCGUAGCUUCUUCCAGCACGUGCUCUCCUUCCUUUGCAAGAUGGGAAGCCUCGUACAAGCUCACCAAUCCUUCAGUCUGGUGGCGAAGGCUGGCUUUCAAGUUUCCCUUCUCAUCCAUAAAUCGGUAGAAUACACCUUCUGUCCAUCCACAUAAUUUGUGCAAGUUAGAUUGUGACACCAUGAUAGAACAGAAUAAACACAAAAUUCCAUUAGAAUGUUAGGCUAUUAACGUGGCAUAAUUUAUGACUAAUUGGACAUAUUUCUAGUUGUCUCAGUUUUAUGGAAGUAAUUGUUCUAGCAAUAUAUGAGGUACAUCAGCGACAAUGCUGUAUCAGUCGCCAAGAAAGGAGUAAAGCAGGAUAUACAGCUUAAUCACCUUCAGAAACAUCAAACCCAUGUUCUCUGAGAAGCCUGAACAUAAGAGCCGUGGCAUGAAGAUUAUCCUUCAGCAACAUGUUCACCUUUUCCACGGAACCGUAUAUAGUCCCUAAAGCAUCCUUAAUAUCCUCCUUAAAGUGAUACGCCACCCCAAGCUGCUGCAGGUGAUCGAUCAGUUGAAGCUGGUCCUCAAUUCCCUUCUUCAUGUAGAUCAGUUGUUUCACGUCCUCUGUCAGUUUUCCCAUCCUUGUUGCGUUAUCCUCCUCCACCUAAUGAAAGCUAGUCAGUAACCAGUGCGAACUAUAGAUAAAACUCAAGUUUACAGAUUGCAUGCAUGCCGACCUUGGUGUCAUUUCUUAGCGAUUGGAUGUAUUCGUCACUCCACGAACUUGGCUGGUAAUUAGCCGAUCGCCGAGGAGGAGUCUGCGCAGCACACCGGAUAUGUGGUCGGAAGCAUGGACGUGGUGAAGCCUUGGACGGCGACGUCCACCGAUGGGCACCGAUGAGACUGCAGAAGGGCGGAGCAGAAGCGCAGAAAGCCAUUGGGCUCGGUGGACAACACUGAGCAGAAGACGGAGAAUCUUAUGGGCUUUGUAAUGGCAGUGUCGCGACGGCUUCAUUUAUAUCCACACAACUUCCACAUCCUUGUGUUCCAUGCAAAUGUAUAUAUGCUGUCAGCGUGUUCAACUUGUACACUUCCGCACCACGUUUAUGAUAUGAUACGUGUAUAAAUUAAAUUAGAAAAUGGUAUUAAAACGAUAAAAAGAAUUUAAUUUGGAUUUCGAAAUUAAUUUGUGUUAAAGAGUUUUUCUUGGAUUAUAUAAAGUCAUGAUUUGUAUCCCUUCGAGUAUAUGUGUUGUGAAAACAAUUGAGUUGUAUAAGUUUUAGUAAAUACAUCAAGAAACCCUUCUUUCCUUGUCCAAAUUAACUUGUUUUAAUCUCUCCACUUCUUUCUUCAAUUGAUAUCGGAGAGCCAAGUUAACUCAUGACUUCCUAGAGUGCAUUUUCAACAUAAAUUUCCUUAUUGAUGAAGGAAAACUAUAAUUUAUGGUGUAUACAAAUUAAGGCACUCUUGAUGUGUGGAAGCUUGUACGAGAUGGUUUUAUUAAACUUAGUAUGGAGGAAAAAAUACAAAUGGAUAAAGAAGCAACAAAACAACUCAAAUAUCAAAGAAAACAGAAGAAUGCCUUAUUCACAAUAUACUAAGUCCUUAGCAAAAUGAAGUUUGAGAUUAUUGCUUCGUCAAAGAUAUCAAAGCUGGCAUGGAACACUUUACAAAAAAACCUUUGGUGGUAUGGACAAGGUGAACAAGAUCCACCUGCCAACUUUAAACUUUAAGAGCUGACUUGAAAAACUACAACAAUGAACCUCUAAGUCCAUUUCAAAGUACUUCUAUAAUUUCAUUUAUAUUAUUCACCAAAUGAGAAAAAAUGGUGAACAAAUUAAUGACCAGAGAGUAAUGGAGAAAUAUUUAAGUUCUUUGGGAUCCAAAGUUUGAUUUUAUUAUUGUGGUAAUUGAAGAAUUCAAAUAGUGAAAACAAUUAUUUUUGGAACAAAUAAUGAGUUUUCUUUGAGUACAUGAACAAAUGCUCAUAAGAAGAGAAGAUAAGUCAUUAGAGCAAGCUCUAUAAACUAAACAAUGAAGUAGAGGUCGUGAAUAACGACGAGGAGGAAGAGAUCAACCCACUCAAGAAGUACAAAAUAACCAAAAUGAAGGAGACAAUAUAAACCCAAGACAUCGAGGCCAAGGUCGUGGAUGAGGUAAAUAUGGGCUGUAUAACAAAUCUCAAAUUCAAUGCUAUAUUAGUAAGAAGUUUGACCACUACCCAAAAGAAGAAGAUGCUGCAAGACAAUUUAGCCUAUUACAAAAAAAAAAAAAAAAAAAAAAUCAGUNNNNNNNNNNNNNNNNNNNNNNNNNNNNNNNNNNNNNNNNNNNNNNNNNNNNNNNNNNNNNNNNNNNNNNNNNNNNNNNNNNNNNNNNNNNNNNNNNNNNNNNNNNNNNNNNNNNNNNNNNNNNNNNNNNNNNNNNNNNNNNUGCUGCAAGACAAUUUAGCCUAUUACAAAAAAAAANAAAAAAAAAAAAAAAAAUAACAGUGAUCUCCCUUUGUUUUCGGCCUCAUGCAUCCACGGAAGCGAUUCUUCUUCAUCUGUCUACCACUGUCUCUCCUCCCAGAUAUAAUUUCCUCUAGCAGAAUUCUUGUUAUGUCUCCAACCCUAGUGUGCUUACUCGCAUGCUGUUCUUCAAGUUCAGCAAAACAUACUGGAUUUUAUGCAGUUCCAGCUCUAGCCUUUCUAUCUUAUCUGUUUCCCUUCUUGCUUGUUCUGCAAUUUGCCGUCUUCUCCGCUGCCACCAUCUUCAGAGUUUGUGUCCAUACUAUCCGAGUUUUCCAACUUCUUGUUUGUAUCAAUUAGCUCAGUGGCAGCUCCUUCAGCAUCAUUUAACUGUACAUAAAUUGUGUUAAAUCUUAAACUUGCAGGAAGCUUCCCCAGUUGAGAGCUUUCCAUUUUCCUCUUCAAAUCCUUCACAUUAGUUUCGAGAUCUAAGAACUUCUGCAAGUCAGUUUGAAGCCUUUCGAUGACUCUUUUGGCCCAUUCUUGUUCGUUGCCAAAGCUCUCUUCAGCAUCACUAACAUGUCAACACUCGACUCCACCACCAGCUCUGGAGAAGGAUACAUGUCGUUCCCCUCUGUUGAACCCACCCAAUGACGGAGGUGUAGUGGCUGCCACCACACCCCGCUGGACCAACGAUAGAAUGACAUUUGCCACCCCCACCAAUGACGAUGAAAUUCAAGGGCUAUGAUAGAAAUUUUUAGAACCAUGAGAGUAAAACCAUCUUUUUAUGUGCUUAGAGGUGCUCGGUGAGAAAUUAUGAAACUUAUAUACUUUUUCUAAGAAGUCACCAAAUAAUAUAUAAUUUUAUUCUUAAUUAGGCUGUGCCACGUGAUUAUAGACGGUCGAUCCAUUAAAUCAGCCUUUUUAAGGUGCCCAUCAACAUUAAAAUUGAGAAAAAUAAAAAACCCAAUCUCAAUGAGUAGCAAAAAAUAAAAUAUAUUAUAGGCUUUUUUUCCUUUAAUGUUUUAUAAAGAAAGAUUUUCUACUUUUAAAGCGAUGAUACAUAUCAAUUUUCACAACCAACAAACUAUAUUACACCAUCAAUACCUUUUACAUAAUAAAAAGGGUGAUCACACCUAAGGAAACUUAAUAAAAAACUCAUGAUAUUAUCCUUAGUUACAUUGUUACUGAAGUAUAGUAGGUUCAAUCAACAAAAACCUGAUGCGAUCCUCAAUCACUCGACCGGCUUUUCCAUGUCCAUCUCCAUAUUGGUACAUGCAUUGGGCCAUUCAUGGGACAUUGAUGAAUAUCAUUUUCAGGUUUUCCUCAAAACAAGAAAUGAAACUUCGAUCUCCGUUUAUUGCUCUUCAAUUUUCCCUAAUCAAUCGCCUGAUAUGCUCACGAGCCGCAUACUCCGACAAACUGCUCUCAUACAUGCAGCCCUGGAUAGAUUUGGGCACAUCGCCUCUUUCAAGCUCGUCCUGCACAAAAACAACCGAUGCAGAGAGGAGAAACUGUGUGAACUCUUUCCUGACCUAAACCAGGAGGUUCACUCGAUGGACCUUUGUCCUAAGAAUCAGGCGGCGUGGUCCAUUGAUCUCUACGUGCAUGAUGCUGGGUGGCAUUAAACCUAAUCCCGUGAUAAGGAGCAUUAAACCCGAAGGUAUGUAAUCGGUGUGAACAUAAUACAUAUAUCCCACUGGGAGCAAAGACUGAGACUGGGUCACAACGUCGGGUUCGGAUCAACCUCUACCAUCAUGCAUCAUCGUCCACUGCAACAUGGUUGUUGCAUCAAACGCAAUUCCGAUACAAAUGUUGGCCAACUUGUCUUCUACCUCAAAAACACUAUGAAUUAAGUGAGCUGAUGGGGGCUUCCUGGCUAGCAGUACCGUCAGCGUCAUCUGGUUCGCUAAAUAAAUGUGUAGGUUGGUCAUGCGUCGAUAGCAGCCUUUCAGGUCGGUGAUGGGUUUGGGUGACACCUUGCCCUCGUUCUUAUCUUUCCACGAUAAAGAUGUCAUGAUGCUACGACUACACGCACGGAGAUAUAAGAAAUAGUUGGAGAGAGAGAGAGUUACGCCUCCUCAUCAUGAUCAUGUGCUAUCGAUGACUAGAUUUUGCAGUCAUCACAGAAUCAUAAUGAUACGUGAUCCAGUAGUUCGUCCACUCUGAACGCGUUUGGCAGAGCCAGUGUGGGACAGUAGUUCGUCCACUUUGCUUCCACCCACAACAAUAUGCAGAGCCAGUGUGGGACAGCGUGCGGCAGUCAGUUGGCACCGAGCUUAGACGAAGUAGCGUGAUGGAAUGACUACCAACUCGUUUAUUUAACGUAGUAGCGUGAUGACGCACCGAAGGCAGAGUCCAAAGGUAGAACGCGUUUACUGAACGAGUCCUGACGCUUCUGAUGCACGGACGGAGGAGUCCAAAGGUGGGCCCCCGUCGCACCCCGAAAGACCAGCUACAAAGCAGCCCUCGCCGCCUUGGCGUGAGCGGAGGCGCAGGCGACGCUGCACGGCACCUCCGCGACGAGCGGCGACUCUCGCCGCCGCACCCUCGUCACCGUUAGCUGUUGGGCUGGCAGUCUACAGAUUCAAUCCAUGGUGAGCUUGAACAGCCCACCUCCUCACUUAACUUAACCCUAAUUCAUAUUGGGGGAUGUGGGUGGCUAUAUUUUAAAGGCAGAAAGAGGCAUAGAUAGGGCAGCAACGAGGGCAACAGUAGAGAUCUUGACAACAGCAAAAAGGAGGAGAACAAGACAAAAAAGGAAGAGAAAGAAAUCGACGAAAACAAGGACAACGCAGAGAGACUGUUCUCAAUCAUCCAUCAAUGUUCUCAUCUCAAGUUAGAUCAAAUCUACAGUAGAUUUUUACUGUGAUUACUUGAGAAGAAUUAGGGAGGAUUUAGAUAUUGAGCACAGGAUCUUAGUUAUUCUUUUGUGAUUGUUGCUAGAGUUUUGGGCAAGAGAAUAAGAUUUGUAUAUUCAUUAUUCUUAUAGUAGAUUAUCUCUAGUUUGCCCUGUGAUUUUUACCCUUCAUAUUGAAGGGUUUUCCACGUAUAUCUUCGUAUUCUAUUUUAUUAUAGUUUCAUUUAAUUCCGCGGUGUGUUAUGGCCUACUAGUAUUUGUUCAUAUACAAAAGUUAUAUCUCUUUAUAUCCCAUCAAUUGGUAUCAAAGCAGGAUUAUAGUGAUUUAAUUUUGUAUUUUAACAUGGAGGCUAAUAGUGUUUCUCACAUGAUUAGUUUGAAUGAAAAUAAUUGGAUGAUAUAGAAACCAAGAAUGGAAGAUCUCUUAUAUUAUAAAGAUUUGUAUGGACCUUUGUUGGGGGAUAGUGCGAAACCUACAACUAUGACAAAUGAUAAGUGGAAGAGGUUAAAUCGAAAAAUAGUUGGGUUUAUUUGAUAGUGGCUUGAUGAUAGUAUAUUUCACCAUAUUUCUACUAAAAGUUUUGCAUAUUCUCUUUGAAAAAAAUUAGAAGGUCUCUAUAAAAGAAAAACAACUGGUAACAAAGAUUUUUUUAUCAGAAAACUUGUGAACCUAAAAUAUAGAGAGAGUGCUUCUAUUGUUGAGCAUUUGAAUGAAAUGCAGUGUAUCACUAACCAGUUAUCCUCUAUGAAAAUGUCUCUUGAUGAUGAGUUGCAAGCAUUGUUACUUCUCAGUUCAUUCCCAGAAAGUUGGGAGACACUGGUGGUUUCCCUCAGUAAUUAUGCGCCAGAUGAUGUUGGCACCAUGAGUCAAGUAAUAAGCAGUUUGUUGAAUGAAGAGUUGAGAAGAAAGAAUUCAACAAUAUCUCAGAAUGAUUCAUAGGCACUUAUCUAAGAUAACAGAGGAAGGUCAAAGUCUAGAAGCAAUUCACGUAUUAGUAGAAGCAAGUCAAGAUCAAAGAAAGAUAUUGUUUGCUAUAACUGUGGUGAGAAAGGACAUUACAAGAACCAAUGUAAGUAACCUAAAAAGAGCAAGAAAAAGGGAAAAGAAAUGGAGUCUACAAAUUCAAAAGAUAAUAUCAUAGCUAUAGUGCGGGGUGAUGAUUCUUUGAUUUUGUCUCUUUCUGAUAAUAUUUUUUCUUGUGUAUGUCAGGAUCUUAAGUGGGUGAUUGACAUUGGUGCUUCUUAUCAUGCUACACUACGGAGGGAGUUUUUUGCUACAUACAGGUCUGGAAAUUUUAGUAUUGUCAAAAUGGGCAACUAUGCACAAUAGAUAUCAUUGGCUUGGGUGAUAUCCAUUUAAAGACCAACCUUGGCUGUAAGUUGGUGCUUAAGGAUAUAAGGCAUGUGGUUGACUUGAGGCUGAAUUUAAUUUCAGUUAGAAGACUAGAUGAUGAAGACUAUGAUAGCAGAUUUUAUAAAGGGCAAUGAAAGCUAAGUAAGGGUUCUCUUGUUAUAGCUAGUGGAAAGAAAUGUCACACCUUAUACAAGUUGCAGGCCAAAGCUUGUGUUGAGCAGUUAAAUGCUAUAAAGAAAGACUUUAGCAUGGAGUUGUGGCAUAGGCAAUUGGGACACAUGAGCGAGAAGGAGCUGCAAGCUCUUUCCAAGAGAGAGGUAUUGCUAGACCUCAGAGGUACACAUUUAAACCAUUGUAUUGAUUGUUUAGCUAAUAAACAACACAAUAUUUUAUUUGCUAGUCCUGCUUUGCCUAGAAAAAUGUAUGUCUUAGAUCGUGUUUAUACAGAUGUAUGUGGUCCUUUAAGGACAAAAACUCCUAGUGGAUCUAUUGAUGUUCUUGGUAUAAGUGGUGCACUUUAUUUUAUCACUUUUAUAUAUGAUUUUUCCAGGAAAGUUUGGGCCUAUGCUUUGAAGACCAAAGAUCAGGUAAUUAAUGUCUUCAAAGAGUUUCAUGCCAGGGUUGAAAGGGAGAUAAAAAGGUAUUUGAAAUGCAUAAGAUCAAAUAAUGGUGGUGAGUACACAGGAUUGUUUAAUAAUUAUUGCAUGUCACAUGAGAUGACAAUUCUUGGUACACCUCAGCAUAAUGCAAUUGCAGAGAGGAUGAACCGCACCAUCAUGAAAAAAUUCAGAUGUAUGCUUUCAAAGGCCAAGCUACCCAAAAGGUUUUGGGAUGAGGCUUUGAGGACUACAGUUAAUGUGAUCAACUUAUCACCAUGUAUAGCCCUAGAUGGUGAUGUUGCAGAGUAUGUAUGGUCAGGGAAAGAUUUUUCCUACAAGCAUUUGAGAGUGUUUGGUUGUCAUGCAUUUGUACAUGUCCCAGACAAUGAGAGGUCCAAGCUGGAUGGUAAGACUAAAUAAUAUAUUUUUCUUAGUUACUCACAUGAUCAAUUUGGUUACAGGCUUUGGGAUCCAAAAAAGCAGAAGGUAUUCAGAAGUAGAGAUGUAGUAUUCUUUGAGGAUCAAACCUUUGAAGAUUUGAAUAAGAAGACACCGACCAAGACUUCUGUAGAAGGAUUAGCAGAUUGUGACCUAAUUACUCCUCCAGUAUAUCAGGAUGAUGAGCGAGAUGUGCAGAAAGAUGGUGUAGAGCUUGAUGUUGAUCUACCUGUAGGACAUGUUGAGCAAGAAGAAGUUGAAGAGCAACUUCCCGCAGAACCUCAGUUGAGAAGAUCUUCUAGAUAACGUCAACCUUCCAAAAGAUACUCUACAUAUGAGUAUAUGAUGCUUACUGAUGUAGGUGAACCAGAAAGUUACCAGGAAGCAGUUGAAAGUGAGCAGAAAGAAAAGUGGUUAGUUGCUAUGCAGGAAGAGAUAGAUGCUCUUUAGAAAACCACACUUAUGAUUGGUACUACUACCAAAUGGAAUGAAGACCUUGCCAAAAAGAAAGACAGGAGAUAUGCCAACAUCUGGUCGGCAUGGCUUCACAUUGAGGAGUCAUGGGACAGCCUCCCUUAUGGGCUGAAGGGGGAGGUUGUUGGGCUGGCAACCCACAGAUUCAGCCCAUAGUGGGCUUGAACAGCCCAUCUCCUCACUUAACCUAAUCCUAAUUCAUAUUAGAGGGGUGUGGAUGGCUACGUUUUAAAGGCAAAAAGAGGCAUAAAUAGGGCAGCAAUGAGGGCAGUAGUAGAGAUCUUAGCAGCAGCUAAAAGGAGGAGAACAAGGUAGAAAAGGAAGAGAAAGAAAGGAAAGAAAAUAAGGACAACGCAAGAGACUAUUCUCAAUCAUCUAGUAGUGUUCUCAUCUCGGGUUAGAUCAAAUCUACAGUAGAUUCUUUCUGUGAUUACUUGGGGAGAAUUAGGGAGGAUUUAUAUAUUAAGCACAGUGACGUGAUUCUUGUAUCCCAGUUAUUCUCUUGUGAUUGUUGUUAGAAUUUUGGGUAAGAAAUUGAGAUUUGUAUAUUCAUUAUUCUUAUAGUGAAUUAUCUCUAGUUUGCCCCGUAGUUUUUACCUUUCACAUUGAAGAGGUUUUCCACGUAUAUCUUGGUGUUCUAUUUGAUUGUGAUUUUAUUUAAUUUCACUGUGUAUUAUGGCCUGCUAGUAUUUGUUCAUAUACAAAAGUUAUAUCUCUUUAUAUCCCAUUAUUAGCCACGGGCAAGGAAGCACAGGCAAAGGGGCGGCAAGGUUAUGAUAGGAAUUUUUCAAAAUGUCAAGGGCAAAAUCAUCUUUUUAGGCGGUUAAAGCUAUUCUAUGAUAAAUUCUAUAAUUAGACUAUGCCACGUGCAUCAAAAUCGAGGGCAAUAAUAUAUUAUUUUAUUUUUAAUUAGAUCAUGCCACGUGUUUAUAGCCAUUAAGUCAGCCUUUUCAGAUAGUCGCCAACAAUAAAGUUUGAAAGAAAUUAAAAAUCCAAUCUCAAUUAGUAGCAUAAAAUAAACCAUACUUUAGGUUUUUUUUAUCUUUAAUGUUUCAUAAAGAGUUUUUCUAGUUCCAAAGCGAUGAUACAGAUCAAUUAUCACAAUCAACACACUAGAAUUACACCAUCAAUACUUUUUACAGAAUAAAAAGAGCGAUCAUACCUAAAGAAAUUUAAUCAAAAGCUUGGACAAAUCAUGAGGAGACUUAUGGCUUCAUGAUAUUAUCCUUAAUUCCAUCGUUACAAAAGUAUAGGUUCAAUCAACAAAGACCUGAUACGAUCCUCAAUCACUUGAUCGGGUUUCCCAUGUCCAUCUCUGUAUUGGUACAUGCAUUGGGCCAUUCGAGAGGCAUUAAUGAUCAUCAUUUUUAGGUUUUCCUCAAAACGAGAAGUGAAACUUCGAUCUCCGUUUAUUGCUCUCCAAUUCCCUCUAAUCAAUCGCCUGAUAUGCUCACGAGCCGCGUCCUCGGAAACACCUCUCUCAUGCAUGUGACACUCUAUAGAUUUGGGCACAUCGCCUCUUCGAAGCUCGUCCUGUACAAGAACAAUCAGUUCCGAGAGGAGAAACUGUGUAAACUCUUUAUUGUGUUGAUUCGAUGAAGGAAUGAAAAGUAUGGUGCGGUUCACAUACCUUGGAAGUACCCAAAUCAUCACAAAGUCGAAAGAUCAUUGAUGACCAUCUUGCAAUCUCAGGACAGCUUUGGAAACCGUCCAAGGCCUCUCGAGUUACAUCGUCACUGGUGCAAUAAGCAAGAGUCAAUGCCAGGGGACCCGAUAUCGACACCAGUGCGUUCUCCAAGUACUCUUCAAGAUUGGGUGUGUAGCCUUGGUGGUACCAACUUGCUUCCACCAUGUAUGCCUUGCAU
rnacentral:lncRNA from 1 species